rnacentral:rRNA from 1 species
GACGAACGCUGGCGGCGCGCUUAACACAUGCAAGUCGAACGGAAAGGCCUGCUUUCCCUUGUGGAUUGCGGGUACUCGAGUGGCGAACGGGUGAGUAACACGUGAGUGAUCUGCCCCCAACUUGGGUAUAAGCCUGGGAACUGGGUCUAAUUUCCGAUUGGACUUCAGGGUGGGUCCCGUUGUGGUAAACGGUUUUUUUGUGGUUGGGGAUGAGCUCGCGGGCUAUCAGCUUGUUGGUGGGGUAAUGGCCUACCAAGGCGGCGACGGGUAGCCGGCCUGAGAGGGUGGACGGCCACAUUGGGACUGAGAUACGGCCCAGACUCCUACGGGAGGCAGCAGUGGGGAAUAUUACACAAUGGGCGGAAGCCUGAUGCAGCGACGCCGCGUGGGGGAUGACGGCCUUCGGGUUGUAAACUCCUUUCGACCGCGAGGAAGCCACCUGGUUGGAAGGGUGGCGACGGUAGUGGUAGAAGAAGCACCGGCUAACUACGUG